rfam:Amborella trichopoda AMTR_V1.0_contig_9561, whole genome shotgun sequence.
CCCACACCCAUGUGAGUAGGACCCCAAAGGAUCACCAUUAAAUUUGGCACAGAUCUCUAGAAAAGUUAUCACAUGGGUGUGGGACUUGACUUUUCUAGAGAUCUGUGCCAAAUUUGAUGGUGAUCAUUUGGGGUCCUACUCCCAUGGGUGUGGG